AAGGUCUUAGGUUAAUGAAACCGUAAGCCUUCAAAGCUUUAAAUAGAGAGUGGUUCUUUAGAUCUUG
rnacentral:tRNA from 1 species